rnacentral:rRNA from 1 species
UACGGGGGGAGCAAGCGUUGUUCGGAUUUACUGGGCGUAAAGGGCGCGUAGGCGGCCACUGCAAGUCGGUUGUGAAAUCUCCGGGCUUAACCCGGAAAGGUCAACCGAUACUGCAGGGCUAGAGUGCAGAAGGGGCAACUGGAAUUCUCGGUGUAGCGGUGAAAUGCGUAGAUAUCGGGAGGAACACCAGUGGCGAAGGCGACUACCUGGCCUGUUCUUGACGCUGAGGCGCGAAAGCUAGGGGAGCAAACGGG